GAUCCUGGCUCAGGAUGAACGCUAGCUACAGGCUUAACACAUGCAAGUCGAGGGGCAGCAUGGUCUUAGCUUGCUAAGGCCGAUGGCGACCGGCGCACGGGUGAGUAACACGUAUCCAACCUGCCGUCUACUCUUGGACAGCCUUCUGAAAGGAAGAUUAAUACCGGAUAGUAUCGAGAGAUUGCAUGAUUACCCGAUUAAAGAUUCAUCGGUAACGGAUGGGGAUGCGUUCCA
rnacentral:rRNA from 1 species